rnacentral:rRNA from 1 species
CCUACGGGGGGCUGCAGUGGGGAAUAUUGGACAAUGGGGGCAACCCUGAUCCAGCCAUGCCGCGUGUGUGAAGAAGGCCCUCGGGUUGUAAAGCACUUUCAGUGAGGAAGAACGCCUGGUGGUUAAUACCCAUCAGGAAAGACAUCACUCACAGAAGAAGCACCGGCUAACUCCGUGCCAGCAGCCGCGGUAAUACGGAGGGUGCGAGCGUUAAUCGGAAUUACUGGGCGUAAAGCGCGCGUAGGUGGCUUGAUAAGCCGGUUGUGAAAGCCCCGGGCUCAACCUGGGAACGGCAUCCGGAACUGUCAAGCUAGAGUGUAGGAGAGGAAGGUAGAAUUACCGGUGUAGCGGUGAAAUGCGUAGAGAUCGGGAGGAAUACCAGUGGCGAAGGCGGCCUUCUGGACUGACACUGACACUGAGGUGCGAAAGCGUGGGUAGCAAACAGGAUUAGAUACCCUUGUAGUC